rnacentral:lncRNA from 1 species
CUUGAAGAUGCACUCUCAAUUUGUUAUUGUAUUUCAGCCAGUAGUUUUGAAGUGGUGCUCGUGUGCCAAAAGUGUUCCCCAUUUUUUGUUUACUACGUCGUCAAGUUGAGUACUACGUCAUCCAUUUUGUAUGAUGUUACAUCCUGCAAAAACAAAAUGUGUGUGCAAUUUGUAAGAUAUGUUACGAGUCCAAUACGUUCUAUAUGUCACAAAUUUGUUGUGCUUAAGUUCCUGGAGUGCAUCUUUAAAUUGAGGUACUUUUGUUUACACCACUGCCGAUAGCAUCCCAACACACCAUAUUUCAGCCUACACAACCCUGUGAUAUGUGUUAGCCAACUGAGAACCGAUCUCCUCUGCUUAGAUCGCCAGAUUUACACCAGGUCUCAGACUCCAGGAUGGGAAAUUGCUUACAAGAAAGAAACAUAUAAAGACAGAGACAGAGUUGUUGAUUUCCAUUGUUACUUGUAAUGUUAAAAUUUGGGAGAAAAAGACCAUCCCUAUUUUCUAAACUAGCUAUCUAGGCUACUCACCAUUCUAUAAGCGACAGAUUUGAGUCACCACUAGAAUAGUUAUUUUUGUGUUAUUGAUCUAAUUAAUCACAUUAUUAAUCUAACAAUAUAUUUUGUAAGAAAUGUAAGGUAUUUUUACAUGUUGCAAUAAAGUUGACUAAAGUAGAAGC